AAUCCAUGCAAAUCAGGUAAGCCAGGAUAGGGAAAUCCGCGGAUUUCCCUAUCCUGGCUUACCUGAUUUGCAUGGAUU
rfam:Pelodiscus sinensis unplaced genomic scaffold scaffold264, whole genome shotgun sequence.